rnacentral:rRNA from 1 species
GGGGAACCAGGACUUUUACUGUGAAAAAAUUAGAGUGCUCCAGGCAGGCCUAUGCUCGAAUACAUUAGCAUGGAAUAAUAGAAUAGGACGUGUGGUUCUAUUUUGUUGGUUUCUAGGACCGCCGUAAUGAUUAAUAGGGACAGUCGGGGGCAUCAGUAUUCAAUUGUCAGAGGUGAAAUUCUUGGAUUUAUUGAAGACUAACUACUGCGAAAGCAUUUGCCAAGGAUGUUUUCAUUAAUCAGGAACGAAAGUUAGGGGAUCGAAGACGAUCAGAUACCGUCGUAGUCUUAACCAUAAACUAUGCCGACUAGGGAUCGGACGGUGUUAUUUUUUGACCCGUUCGGCACCUUACGAGAAAUCAAAGUGCUUGGGCUCCAGGGGGAGUAUGGUCGCAAGGCUGAAACUUAAAGAAAUUGACGGAAGGGCACCACCAGGGGUGGAGCCUGCGGCUUAAUUUGACACAACACGGGGAAACUCACCAGGUCCAGACACAAUGAGGAUUGACAGAUUGAGAGCUCUUUCUUGAUUUUGUGGGUGGUGGUGCAUGGCCGUUCUUAGUUGGUGGAGUGAUUUGUCUGCUUAAUUGCGAUAACGAACGAGACCU